rnacentral:rRNA from 1 species
GAUGAACGCUAGCUACGGGCUUAACACAUGCAAGUCGAGGGGUAACGAGAGGAAAGCUUGCUUUCCUUGUCGACGACCGGCGCACGGGUGAGUAACGCGUAUCCAACCUGCCCCCAACUAAGGAAUAACCUUGCGAAAGUAAGACUAAUACCUUAUAAUUUCCUCAGAUGUCAUCUGACGAGGAAUAAAGAUUUAUCGGUUGUGGAUGGGGAUGCGUCUGAUUAGCUUGUUGGCGGGGUAACGGCCCACCAAGGCAACGAUCAGUAGGGGUUCUGAGAGGAAGGUCCCCCACAUUGGAACUGAGACACGGUCCAAACUCCUACGGGAGGCAGCAGUGAGGAAUAUUGGUCAAUGGGCGGAAGCCUGAACCAGCCAAGUAGCGUGCAGGAUGACGGCCCUAUGGGUUGUAAACUGCUUUUAUACAGGAAUAAAGUUAGCCACGUGUGGUUAUUUGUAGGUACUGUAUGAACAAGGACCGGCUAAUUCCGUGCCAGCCGCCGCGGUAA